rnacentral:lncRNA from 1 species
UUUUUUUUUUGUUUGUUUUAUUGAAGUAUAGUUGAUUUGUUUUAUUGAAGUAUAUUCAAUUUAUUUUCUGCUCCUAUCUUUAUUGUUGUGAUAAUUUCUGCUAUACAAAAAAAGGGAUUCAGUUAUACAUAUACACACAUCUAUUCUCUUUAAGAUUCUUUUCUUACAUAGAUGAUCACAGAAUAUUGGGUAGAGCUCUCUGUGCUAUAUAGCAGGUCCCUCUUGGCCAACCACUCCAUACACCUCAGUAUGCAUAUGCCAAUCCCAAACCCCUGGUCCAUCCCUCCCAACUCCACACCUGUCUCCCACCACCACACCUGUCAAAGUCUGUGAGUCUGUUUCUGUUCUACAAAUAAGUUCAUUUAGUAUCUUUUAUUUAGAUUCCACAUAUAAGUGAUACCAUGUGAUGUUUGUUUUUCAUUAACUUCCUGCUAAGCUGCAAUGUUCUGGUAGGUUAGGUGUAUUAUGCACUUCUGAUUUAUGAUAUUUUCAACUUACAAUGGAUUUAUAGGGAUGUAACCCCAUCAUAAAUUGAGGAAGAGAUGUGCAUAUAUAAAUAAAUUUUUUUAUUUGCUUUUUCUGACUAGGCCAGAAUUCCAACAUCUCUCAGCAAUGCACACCUCUGGUCUCACGCAAUCUUGCCACAUCCAAGCCUGGCUCACCUCCAGCCAAAGAUCCACAGUGAAUCCUCAACACAAAUUUUGGGUGCCCACCUCUAUGCAGAUCCCUAUUCUCUGGUACCCUGCCUUGCAAAUUCCAGCUACCGCAGGCAACUCGAAACUCCAACCUCUGCCUCCAAAGCGCAGUAAGACCAUGCAUCCAUUUGGGCUCCCCACCCCUGUACCAUGACAAGAAUCUACCCAGGCAAACAUACAAACAAAAAAACCUGGAAAAAUAGUAGGGCUCACCUUGUGUCUUUCUUUAUUUCAAUGAUUAUAGUCCUGAAAUGCCCAUUCUUCAAUGCCUAGAAACAGUUGUCUCACACAUUUUCUUGUUUUAUAGUUGUUUUUAGAGAGAGGCAAUUCAUUACGGGUUGCUAUGGUGUGGCUGAAAGUGACAGACUCCUGUGCUUAACUCCUGAUUUUAUUUAAAAAGAAUAUAAAUAUUUUCUACACCUUCUUGAGUCAAUUGUGUUUUUCCAAGGAUUUUUCUAUUACACUCAACUUUUUAUAUUUGCUGGAAAAAAAUGUUGCUCAAAAUUUCUUGUUUUCAUUUCAAUAUCUGAAGCAUCCAUACAUUCCUAAUAUUUCUUGUGACUUCUCUCUUUUCCUUGAUCGAUUUCAUCAGAAGUUUGUCAAAUUUAUCAGUUAGUCUUUUCAAUGAACUAAUCUUUUCUGCUGUGUUGAUCCUCUAGAGUGAAUGUUUCUCUACAUGGUUAUAUCUUCUGCUCAUAUCUUUAUUGUUUCCUUCCUUCUGUUUUUUUUUGGGUUAAAAUUUCUGUUCUUCAUGAGUAUGUAUAAUUCACUAGCAGCUCAGAAUGUCAUUUAUUUGGCAGUAUGUGAUUGACUAUCAUGUAAAAAGUCAUUUGGGGUACAUUACACACAAGGGCAGAGACUUAUGUUUAUCUUUGUAUUUCCAAGUCCUGCUACGUAGUGGGUCCUCAUAUAAUGUUCGUUUCUUUAAGGAUAUGGAAAAUUAUGUGUUAAUAUGAUGAACCCUUGGGAAAAUACAAAACAUAUGAUCCAUGUUACAAAAUUUAUUCAUGAUACAAUCUCAACAGUAUUGAAUUUAUUUACAAUGUCCCCAAUUUUUUUCUGAAAUAGCUCUCAACUUCUUAAAAGGGAAAGCAGUUAAACCAUGCAUUUUUAAUAUAUUUUUUCACACUAGCCUUCCUUUGUGGGCAAUAUCUGAGAAAUUGGCACUCACAAGUAACUUUAAAUAACAUGAAGAAAUGAAAGAGCUUAUCUAAUAAAUAGAUCAUUAAAGAAAUUAACCUAUUGUCAUCUUGUUUAUGGUUAACUAUUAACAAUUGGAUUCUGAUUUUUUUACAGGAAGGUGCCUAUAAACUCACCCUGAAUGUUAGAUGUACACGAUUCAUGUCAACCUUACCGCAAGCACAACAUAAAACUACAUAACAUUUGACAAUUAAUUUUCGAAAUACUAUGAAAGAAGAAGAUUAAAAAUGUGGACCAUCGACCCUAGGACUCAAGUAUAUUCUUUUGCCAGUCUUAUUUCCAAAUCUCUCCAUCCUGUAGCUGUUAAUGAGUUUUUUUCUAAUCAUGACUAAAUCUAAUAUGUAAGUACUUAGAUCUCAAUUUUACCUUCUACUUACAUUUUGGCUAGAAUAAUACUAAAAUCACCAGCAUUAAUUAAACAAUAGCUUAAUUUUUGAGGAUCUUCUUUGUGACAGGCACUUCUUUGUGAUAUGCUUCCUUAAGUAUUCAGAAUCAUGCUUGGUGAGAGAGACAAAUCGUUCUAGGGGCCAUUUACAUUUACUCAGGUUAUCCACAAAGAACAGAAUAUUAUAUGCACUUUUGAUCCAAUAAAUAAUCUGUAUGAUUGAAGAUGCUGAAUUUCAAACAUGUUAGGAAAGGCCAGUAUGAAAAGCUCAAAUGUGAACACUUUUACAAAUCUCCACGGAGUCCCCGUCGAGGUGCAGUGGAAACGAAUCCGACUAGGAACCACGAGGUUGCGGGUUCAGUCCCUGGCCUCGCUCAGUGGGUUAAGGAUCCGGCAUUGCCGUGAGCUAUGGUGUAGGUUCAAUCCCUGGUCUGGGAACUGAGAUUGCAUAUCAUGUCCCUGACAACCAUGGCAAGAAAAAAAAUGAUAAACUCAAUUUUUAUCUAUUCACAGUAACAUACCAUACCAAUUCCCAAGAUAACACCCAAAUGAGUGACUCACUGGAUGUAGGCUUCAAGUUACAAGAAUAUGCAGUUUUUACAUUUGAAUGACAACUUAAAGAGUCUACAAUAGUGUUACCCACAUUUUGUGUGCUUGACUCCUUUUAAACAAAAGUGUUCCAAAGCCAUAUUCCUCCCCGUGCCUGCUCCCCAAGUAGAGGCAUAUAGUGUAGAAGGGACACUUGAUUAGGCUGCACCCUCUAGGUAUGUGGGAUGAAGGCUUCUAGGCAGAGUGGCUAUAUCAACAUUUUUCUAAUACUUGAGGAAAUUAGCCGAAAGAUAAGUGCAAAAAAAAUGUUAAAUCUCAAGUCAGUAGGGUCCAAAUUUUUCAAAUAAGUUUGCAAAACAUAUGACUCAUGGAAAAAUCCAUUUCAGGGGUUUUCCAGAACAAUUCAGUAGGACAGUCAGGAAAAUGAUCACUUAUUGGAGCUACAUUUUAACACCAACACAUUUAGUUUGUUUUAGCAGUGGAUGCCUUCGAGAACUUUUAUGAACUGUGAUGUUUAAAUAAAAACACAUAUACAUCAUUUUUAUUGCUUUUCCCACAAACCUCUAUUUUCUUUAAGUCCUCAGUCUUGCCCUCCAUAGUUUUACAUACCACAGUCUUUUUCACAAGCAUACUACAUAGUUUAUGAAGGAUUAGUCUCUUUCCAGGCAGGUCCUUCUAUCUCAGGCCCACCAAAUCACACAAUUGAGCAAACACCUGGACUGCCUACUUUAGCCCUGCUUCCAAGAGGCAGUUGAGAAAAUGCCUACAUUAUGCUCUCGGUUGCACUCUGUAACUAAACUAUCUUCCUUUCUGGUUUCUGAAAAAAUACCCCUUUCCCAACCAGGUACCAUUUCCUACUCUUAAAAUACUUUGGUUUUGGUCAAUAGGAGAGGAAAUGCAACCUAUUUUUAGAAAUGAAUGUGGGUAUGGUGCUAUUAACACUUUCAAGGUAGAUCUAUAAACAUAUAACGCCACUUGGUUUUUCUAAAUGAUAAUAUUAAGGUAGAUAUCAAUUCUGUUUCUACUGCUGUUUUAUAUGUUGCUCUACAUUAAUGUGAAUAGUAGGAGGGCAGAAACUCUGUUUCUCUUCUACAGCACACAGUAUUGUUUUAAUUAAUAUUUUAAAAUAAAAUGUGUACCUGACAAAUUCAAUAAUAUUUCAUUUCUUUAGUUGUUAUUAUAUUUUAUAGAUGAGAAAUUAGGCUUCAGAGAGGUUAAGCAUCUUACCUAAUUUGCAGAGUACAUGGCAGAGACAGUAUGAUAAGACAGGUAGAGGCAGGAAUUAAACCUAAGUCUGACUCCAAAUCCCAUGGCCUUCUCACUAAAUCAUCAUACCUUCCUCCAGGGUGGUCUCUCUGGGAAAUUCCACCAGAAGCCAACUUACUUUGUACAAAAUAUCCAGGCUAAGCCUAUCCUGAUUAAAAAGGUCAUGGUCUGUCCCCAUCCGACAGUCAAUCUGAGGCAAAGCUCAUGUUCUCUUAGCUCUAACUACAUGUCUCUUUCUGGAGAUUCACGACAAUAACAAGCGUUCCUUUGGGAAGAGUCCAAUCCUUUAGCCUCCCUGGCCCAGUGUGGAAUGACUCAGGUCAGACUACAGCCGCUCCAAACAACUCCUUCCAAGUAAGACCUUAAGAAUGUCAGUGACUCAGGUACCAUUGUUUUCAGAUGAUCUUGGGUGGAGGCCAUGACCACUUGCAAGUUUAAAACAUUAAGUGAUUCAAGAUGGGGAAAGUUAGAGUGAGGGGUUGGACACUCUCAGGCUCAUAAAAAAAAAAGAAAAGAAAAAGAAUGUACCAGCUCACUGACUACAGCAUAGCCUGAUAAACGGGAGUCCUCUUUCAAGUUAAAUCUUAUUUUUUCCUCUUUGGAUUGAAGGAAAAUGCAAGAUAAAACCUAAGAGUAGUUACCCUCUGAAGUCCUCCAGGAAAUGUUUAUUUUGUCUUAUGUAUAAAACAAUAACUAGUAUCCAAAAGAACUUGAUGUCCCAGUUAAGAAUGAAAAAGACCACGAUAAACAGCUGGAGGGGGCUGAUAGCAUGUUGCAUCCCGUGCAUUCUUCACCGGCCCCUAGAACUGCACUUUAAAAAUGGAGAAAAACAUUUCCUGCCUUAGUGCCAAACAGAGAAAGGCAAAUGGUCUGGAAUGACCUCAGAAGAUUUAGCAAAGGAACUUAAACAGAAUUUGCUCAAAACUUCAAUGAACUGGACUUCUGCCAAACCACUUGGAAAAUUUCUGCAUUCAGAAAGAAGAAAAAUCUUCCCCAUGAAAGACACUCUCUGGAAGAAACCAUUCCAACCACUAUAAAUAUUUUUGCCAUUGACUGUAUGAGUGACUAUGUCAGAAUUCUUGAUGUAUGUCUCCAUUUCCUCUUAUUCUUAUCCAACUAUUACUUUUUAAAAGUAAAUCCUGUGGUUUACUAGUUUGUGUAACCC